UGAGUUUUGGUCUGCUUUAUGAUGAUGGGUUUGGAUGUUUUGUCAUUGGGUGUGCUUGGUUUGAGUAGAUCUGAGGAUUUCUUGGUGGUACCAGAACUGGACUUGGUUGAAUUUGAGGCCUUUGAGGUGGAAUUGAGCUUCUUGAGCUGUUUCGUGGCAGAGAUAGUGGGUGUCGUUUUCGUGGAGUUUGAGGAUUUUGCCGUGGAAUUGAGCUUCUUUAUCUGGGCUUUGUUGAGGAUAGUGGGUGUCGUUUUGGUCGAGUAAGUGGAGGGUUUGACGAGUUUGGUUUGGUUCUUGCUGGAAGAGGUCCCAUCGAGCUUCUUCUUUGGUUGAUCUUCUUUCUGUACCUCUUUGACGAGUUUGGUCUGGUUCUUGGUGGACAAGCUAGUGCUGGGUGUCUUCUUGGGCUGCUCUUCUUUCUCAAUCUCAAACACUCUCCUCCUCCCAAGAAACUGUGUUCUCCGAGGUUGGGCCUCGGAGCAGGCACAAACAAGAGUAGAAGCAAAGAGAAAUAAAACAAGAUAGAGCACAAGUACCUGUCUGAAACUGAAGUACCGAAGUGGAGCCAUG
rnacentral:lncRNA from 1 species